rnacentral:lncRNA from 1 species
CAGAGAUCCACUUUGAAAUGAAAAGAAGUUUAAGUGUGGGAAUUUUGCUGUCCUCGUGGAUCUUCAUAUCUUGCCACAAGGUUCAAACAAAGAUACAAGCUGGUUUUCUGAACAGAAGAAAGAGGAAGUCUGUUUACUGUUAAAAGAAACCAUUGAUUCAAGAGUUCAGGAGUACUUGGAAGUUCGCAAACAGCACAGGCCAUCAAAUGCAGAAUUCACAAGAUCCAAUCCCUUGUCCUUAAAAGGUUGAGACUAUUGUGAAGAGUGCUAUUGUGAACACUGUAUGUUCAUGCCUAAGUUCA